UAGGAUUAACAACCAUCCUGGUUUGCCUGGGAUUGAGGCGUUUUCUGGGCAAACCAUGAAAGUCCACUCAAAACCAAG
rnacentral:miRNA from 1 species